UCAGAUGCGAAAGCGUGGGUAGCAAACAGGAUUAGAUACCCUGGUAGUCCACGCCGUAAACGCUGUCUACUUGGAGGUUGAGGUUUUAGACUUUGGCUUUCGGCGCUAACGCAUUAAGUAGACCGCCUGGGGAGUACGGCCGCAAGGUUAAAACUCAAAUGAAUUGACGGGGGCCCGCACAAGCGGUGGAGCAUGUGGUUUAAUUCGAUGCAACGCGAAGAACCUUACCUACUCUUGACAUCCAGCGAAGCCUUUAGAGAUAGAGGUGUGCCUUCGGGAGCGCUGAGACAGGUGCUGCAUGGCUGUCGUCAGCUCGUGUUGUGAAAUGUUGGGUUAAGUCCCGCAACGAGCGCAACCCUUAUCCUUGUUUGCCAGCACAUAAUGGUGGGAACUCCAGGGAGACUGCCGGUGAUAAACCGGAGGAAGGUGGGGACGACGUCAAGUCAUCAUGGCCCUUACGAGUAGGGCUACACACGUGCUACAAUGGCAGAUACAGAGGGCAGCGAGACAGCGAUGUUUAGCGAAUCCCUUAAAGUUUGUCGUAGUCCGGAUUGGAGUCUGCAACUCGACUCCAUGAAGUCGGAAUCGCUAGUAAUCGUGGAUCAGAAUGCCACGGUGAAUACGUUCCCGGGCCUUGUACACACCGCCC
rnacentral:rRNA from 1 species